rnacentral:lncRNA from 1 species
CUUUUCUUCAUGCCAAAAACUCCCAUUUCUAUCCAUGAGAUCACAUAAGAGGUGCCCCCUUUAUCUCCUUUUAAAUAGGGAUUAGUUAGGUUAGGGUUUUUUAGGAGUCCUUAUUUCUGCCUCCUUAGAUUUGUGCGCUAACCCAUUUAGUGCCUCUUUUCUCCAUGGUAAAAAAUAGAUUAGGCAUCCCUCUUGGGUGUGGAUAAGGAGAGAGAG